CGGUACCUGCAGAAGAAGGUGCGGCCAACUACGUGCCAGCAGCCGCGGUGACACGUAGGCACCAAGCGUUGUCCGGAUUUAUUGGGCGUAAAGAGCUCGUAGGCGGUUUGUAAGUCGGGUGUGAAAACUCUGGGCUCAACCCAGAGAGGCCACCCGAUACUGCAAUGACUUGAGUACGGUAGGGGAGCGGGGAAGUUCCUGGUGUAGCGGUGAAAUGCGCAGAUAUCAGGAGGAACACCAGUGGCGAAGGCGCCGCUCUGGGCCGUAACUGACGCUGAGGAGCGAAAGCAUGGGUAGCAAACAGGAUUAGAUACCCUGGUAG
rnacentral:rRNA from 1 species